GUGUGUAGGUCUGUGCCUGGGAUCCAAACCAGCAAGCACUGGGCCACCAAAGCAGUGGUGUGCGAACUUAACCACUAUGCCACCGGGCCAGCCCCAGAAUAUGGUUUCUUAGAGCUGAUGUCACCCUUUGAAGGAGCAUUCUUCUGAGAGGUGUGGAAGAGAGGCUGCAAACAGCCCCUUCUCCUAUUAUUUGAAUCUUUCAUUUGGGAAACACAGCUUUCACCAUUUCAGGUGGCAUCUUCCAAUGGCACAGACCUUCCUUUCUGUGCCUUCUGCGUCUCGGCUGCACUCUGACCUCUGCUCUUUGCUGGGCUCGGCCCAUGUUUAACACUUGGUUUUGGUGGAGCCGUGAGAUUUCACCUGCAGAGACCCCGCGGGGCAAGACUCAAGGCCAUGAGCCCUAAGAUGGGGAACCCCACAUUUAAAAGCACCACCUGGUAGUAAACAUUCCCUGGGGAGGGAAUCUUGGCGUUUAUUCACUCAUCAAACAUCAUGAUGUGCCAGGCACUGUUCUGAGCACUUUACAAAAAUACGGAGUUAGUUCAUCCUGAUCACACCCCUCUGAGAUGGGCACUGUUAUUGCUGGUCUUCAGGUGCAGAGAGUGAAGCCCAGAGAGGUUAAAUAAUGAGCUUUGACUCUCACAGCCAGAAAAUGGGGAGCUGGGAGCCCUACCCGGUCUGUCAGCUCCAGAGCCCUUAGCCUCGUACUCCACUGGCUCGUGUUCACAUCCAGGGGGCUGUGGACCCCCACCGCCGAGGCACAUGGUACAGGGAGAGCUGUCUCCUUAUCAGUUUAGUUGCCACCUGGACAAAAAACAGAGUCACGGAGCGGAGCUGGUUUCAGUGGUCACGCGUCUAGGAGAUGCUGAGGCAUGCUGGCAGCCGGAUGUGGGGGCUCCGGUGCCCACCUGCCUCUUUCCAGGCUUCUCCUCACAAACUCGGCUUUGCCUGGUGAGAGUCUCAGGGAUCCUUCAGAGGCGGUGUGGGGCUCCUUUGCCUUUGGUGGAUAUGAGGUUGUUAUCAGCAACCUCGGGAAAUCUGAAUUUUCUUUCUUCCAGCUGCCCUUAUGAGAGCUGAGCUUGUGAUCGGCGUGAUGCUAAGCAUUUACUCGAGCUAUCUCACUUCACCAUCAGAACCACGGCCCUAAGUGGCAGGUCUGCUGUUGCCCCAUCUUACAGACGAAGAAACUGAGGCUCAGAAAGGAGAGUUUACAGGGGAAAAGAAGUUUUAAUAAAACAAAAAGGUAGAAGUGUAAAUUGGUGGACUUUUUGGAAGAAAUUUGCCACCCUCCAGCAAAAGCUGAAAAUCUUCGACCCAGUGAUGCCAGUUUGAGAAGAUAACCAAAGAA